CAUAUCAUGAUCUUUGUAAUGAAUCAUUCCUUUGAAUAGUUCUUGAAUAUGUUUUUAAACAUUUUUCAAAGAUUCUUUUGAAUAUUUUUUGAAUAUUUCUUGAAUAUUUCUUGAUUUUUUUUUAAAUCUUUUUUUUCACCAACCACUAACCCACUGGUUCCCAAUGGGGAUCACUCCUUUUGUUUUCCUGGCAACUUUGUACAAAGCAAGAUAUGUGGUAUACGCAGGUUUUCUUCCCCCUUCAUCACAUAUAAUGAUCUUUGUAUUGAAUCAUUCCUUAUAAUAUUUCUUGAAUAUUUCUUGAAUAUUUCUUGAUUUUUUUUUAAAUCUUUUUUUUUCACCAACCACUAACCCACUGGUUCCCAAUGGGGAUCACUCCUUUUGUUUUCCUGGCAACUUUGUACAAAGCAAGAUAUGUGGUAUACGCAGGUUGUCUUCCCUCUUUAUCACGUAUCAUAAUCUUUGUAAUGAAACUUUCCUUUGGAUAGUUCUUUAACAUGUUUUUGAGUAUUUUUCGAAUACCUCUUUGCAUAUUUCUUGAAUAUUUCUUGAAUAUUUCUUUAUUUUUUUUUAAAUCUUUUUUUUUUCACCAACCCUUUACCCACUGGUUCCCAAUGGGGAUCACUCCUUUUGUUUUCCUGGCAACUUUGUACAAAGCAAGAUAUGUGGUAUACGCAGGUUUUCUUCCCUCUUCAUCACAUAUCAUGAUCUUUGUAAUGAAUCAUUCCUUUGAAUAGUCCUUG
ensembl:lncRNA